CCUAGUUGCUCAAAUGGUAAAGAAUCUGCCUGCGAUGCAGAAGACCUGGGUUCAAUCCCUGAGUUAGGA
rnacentral:tRNA from 1 species